UUGAUAAACCUAGAGAAUGAAGUCCUGUUUCCAUCCAAACAGCAGAUAGCUUACACAGUACGAGUUCUCCCACUUCACCUCAAUCUCGUUCUGACGUCACGUCUAGAACUGAGAGAGUUGCUUAGUCUUCACGUCCAUUCAAUCAUACUAUUCU
rnacentral:sRNA from 1 species